UACGUAGGGGGCAAGCGUUGUCCGGAUUCAUUGGGCGUAAAGAGCGUGUAGGCGGUUAGGUAGGUCCGUUGUGAAAACUCGAGGCUCAACCUCGAGACGCCGAUGGAAACCAUCUGACUAGAGUCCGGAAGAGGAGAGUGGAAUUCCUGGUGUAGCGGUGAAAUGCGCAGAUAUCAGGAAGAACACCCGUGGCUAAGGCGGCUCUCUAGUACGUGACUGACGCUGAGACGCGAAAGCGUGGGGAGCGAACAGG
rnacentral:rRNA from 1 species